CUCUCUCUCUCUCUCUCUCUCUCUCUCUCUCUCUCUCUCUCUCUCUCUCUCUCUCUCUCUCUCUCUCUCGCUCUCUCUCCCUACUCUCUACAGUUGCAUUGUUACAGUCCUGCAGUCACUCACCCACAUGGUUGAUCCUCUACCAGGGGGCACCGUGAGCCAUGGUAUCGCUUCACAGGGAACCUGCAAUAACGUCUAAAUGCUGGGUCCUCCCUCUGUCUGUCUCUCUCUCUCUCUCUCCUCCCCUCCCCCUCACUAGAUGCAGGCCAGGGGCACGGCAUACCGUCACAAUGGCAUGCCCCGCCAGUUAAGGCUUUUUCUCUCCUCUGGGCCUUAACGGAGGAAUAGGGACUUCCUGCAGCGACUAGACCCUCCCAAGUGAGCCCAUUCCAAUCUGAUUCAACCCCUUCUCGGGCCCAGUUGAGCGUACUCUAGUAGCUUCAGCUGUCUCGGACCCACCGAGGUCCGAGACAUAGCCAUCGAUUCCACAUCCCUGGUUCAUUAAAGUCCGGGUCUCCCCUCUUAUCGCCGUCAUGAAUACGCAAGAACAGACGGCCUCUCUUCGUCCGGCAGAAACCAUUUGUUCUCCUUCUGGAAAUAAUAAAUCACACCAUCUUACGUUAUAUAACGUAGAAUGAAUGAUAGGUUCGAACGAGGUCAGCCGCUAGGCUGACGUUCAAGAGGGUUGCAACGUAAAAUCGUUUUUAUGGCCUUGAUUAGGGUUCAAUGUAGAAUCUGUUUCAUUGGCGUUUCUCCGAUCCCCAGUUCGUUUUAGAUCUUCAUUCGAACUAGGCUCGGGAAAGCCCGUCGAUUUACAGUUAAAUAAUUUAUAUUUUGGCUUUUUCGACACUAUAUUAUCAUAGAGAACUUCGAAGUCGCCAGUUAUGUUUCAUGAGACUGGGAAAUGGCAAUGAAUCUGUGUGUACGUGCGUGUGCGUGACUCUCCCGCUCGCUCUUGUGGAACAAGAAGAGAAGGUUGUACAGGAGGAAGUGUUAUGGGCAUUCAUGCACCAGCACUUUCCGUAGAUUAGAUGAGAUGAACUAAGAAGAAUAUUUCUCGUCGACUUCGCAGCAACCAGAUCAUUUGGGAGGAUCGACGGAUCACCGUCAAGUUAGCCUCCUUCGCCUCAUGGGAUGGACCAUCGUUAGAAAACGAACGAACGGAAGGAACAAGGCCGUCUGCGUCGUCAUGAUUCCUCCUCCUCUUCCCCUCUCCCCUGUCAACGUCGAGUUCCGAUGUGUCGUCGUUCCUCUCAAGCUGAUCUAACGAGGAGUAAUCAUUCCCCCGCCCAUUGAUUAGAGUCUACUACGGCGGCGGCGACGGCGCCGGCGAGAUUUUCUCGUCUGGACACUCUACAGCUCCGCCGAGGAACCCAACCGCAGGCCCCAUCCCCUCGCCAGAUCUCUCCACCGCCUUUCCCGUUUCCCCAUCACUGGAUAUCACUUCCUUUUCCCCCUCAUCGUCCCAGUACACGCCAACUCGGCUCCCUCUACCGAAGAACACAUUUUUGGUCUCCAUCGGAUCGGAACCCCGUACACGUCGGCAGAAUAGAUAAGGUUCUAGAAGGUAUUAAAUAUCUCUCUCUCUCUCUCUCUCUCUCUCUCUCUCUCUCUCUCGCGUUAUGAUACACCCAUUCAAAUCGCCGAAACCACCUUGAUCGGAAUCUAAAUUUAAGCUGUGUUACAGGUAUUGGGGAAGACGUCCAAGUUCAAAUCAGAUUCAGCAAAAAGCUUGGCCUGGUAUGGACUCUUUACACUGAUAAAUUUGUUCAUCUCUGUUGAGUCGAUAUUAUUUUAGACCUAUCGAGAGUUUCUAUAAAGCCAAAACAUUUGAGUCAAAGCUUUUAGCAACAUCCAAACGAGACUAUGUGCCAAACCUAACCUCAAAGAACUCCGGGUUAAAACAUCCUCUAGUUUGAUCAUUGUGUGAAAAAAUUAUUCUUUUUAAUUAAUGAAUGUGAGCUUGAUCGGUUCACUAGUCUAAAUAAAAGAUGUACUAAAGGACCUAACCAGUAACUCCUUCGCUACCCAUAUACUGAGCGCUAAGCUAACCCAAUAGGACCUGAAUAUUUAUGACCCCCCUCCGUCUCCGUUACCAGGGUAUGAGAUCUACUUUACAUCACGGUCAGUGUUGCUGAAAUCAACUUCAUUAGGUGCCGAAAUAUCAGCAAAAUCAAGC
rnacentral:lncRNA from 1 species